rnacentral:rRNA from 1 species
UUAGAGGUGAAAUCCCGGGGCUCAACCCUGGAACUGCCUUUAAUACUGCUAGUCUUGAGUUCGAGAGAGGUAAGUGGAAUUCCGAGUGUAGAGGUGAAAUUCGUAGAUAUUCGGAGGAACACCAGUGGCGAAGGCGGUUUACUGGCUCGAUACUGACGCUGAGGUGCGAAAGUGUGGGGAGCAAACAGGAUUAGAUACCCUGGUAGUCCACACCGUAAACGAUGAAUGCCAGACGUCAGGGAAUAUACUUGUUGGUGUCACACCUAACGGAUUAAGCAUUCCGCCUGGGGAGUACGGUCGCAAGAUUAAAACUCAAAUGAAUUGACGG